GCCAACGGCCAUACCACGUUGAACACACCAGUUCUCGUCCGAUCACUGAAGUUAAGCAACGUCGGGCCCGGUUAGUACUUGGAUGGGUGACCGCCUGGAACCCCGGGUGCUGUUGGUA
rfam:Orchesella cincta Ocin01_Sc1166, whole genome shotgun sequence.